GAUAUACUCCAUUUCCACAGCAACAGGCAAUGAGCUUCUUGAGAGGAGCAUCAACAUCAUUGAGAAGCCCAAUGGUGGCUGUCCAAGGGGCUGAUAUAAUAGGAGAGAACUUUUGGAUAAUCUACCUUCCGCUGAAGAAGAGGAUCGAUUGUAUGGGAAAAGCACCUGCAACAAGUAGUUACACUCUCCUAUUGAAAUGAGACCCUUGAUACUGAGAUCAUGUGAGUUGGUUCCUAGAUUCAACCUUCCAUAUUUAGAUCCCAUAAUCUUCCAAGAUUGUGGGAAGUCUGCCAUUCUCCAUUUCAUUAGCUACGAAACAUGGACAACAUGCAUGGAACAGCUGUUUGAAGACUGUGCCAAGUAAAUGGCAACAGGCAAAUUGAGAAGAACAUCAGAAUUUGAAGAAAUGCAGAGAAAACACGUGUUUCUAAUUCCAACUAUGAAUCUACUAUAACUUUUGGAUCCCUCUUCUGCUGAACUGAAAUAAAGAAUCGAGCUGUUUUGAAAAAGUGCCUAGCAUAACAUAGUGGAGGCACAAAGAAAACUGGAAAAGAAGUGUCAUUGAAUCUGAGAACUUGAAGCAGAAGAGAAGUAUGAAGCCAAAGAGCUUUUGUGACUUCCAGACCACCCGUGAGAAUGAGCUUCUGAUGUUGGAUUUUCUUCCUCUUCCUCACAUGGGAGAAAAUGUGGACGUGCAGACACAGACGUGAUCAUGGAAGUGGGAGAGCAACAUGAAGGUUACCUGAUGGAAACUAGCAUUAGGAGGGGUGCAGAGAGAGCCAGUGGGAGUAGAAGCAGGAGGCAGACUACUCAGCAGUGGGAAGAAUGUGCGUCUCCCCAUGAAAGUGCUGAGCAAGCAAGCUGAUUAUGCCAUCUCUGCCGAGGAGGAUGACAGUGUCUGAGAUGAAUCAUUUAUGACCAUGAGACCUGCUGCUGAGAUCCCUACAUCACCAAAUCGGGCUACACAAACGGGGCGCGGGGGGGCAGAUAAUUUGAAUAACAAUCUCAACUGCAAAGAUGAAAACAGAAUCGAAAUUCACCAAAUAUUAAUGAGAAGCUAGAACAAAAAAAAUGAAUGUCAAACUCACUAAAAACAAUGACUUACACCUGAGGAAAAUAAAUACACACUUUUAAAACAGCUAGUACACCUUCAAUGGAGACGGGAUAAGGAAUGAAUGGCACUAGACACACACUGGAUAAUCCUCAGUUCAUACUUUGCAUCACAUACGAAUGAUGAACUCACAGUGGAUUAUAGGGUUAAAUGUAAAGUCGAAAGCUAUAAGACUUCUAGGAGAAUAUAGAAGAGAAAAUCAUGUGAUCUGGGCUACACACAAAUUUCCUAGGUGUGACACCAAAAGCAGAACUCAUAAAGAAAAUGAGCUGCUAAUUGGGACUUUAUCAAUUAUAUGAAU